CCAGACUCCUACGGGAGGCAGCAGUGGGGAAUAUUGCACAAUGGGGGGAACCCUGAUGCAGCGACGCCGCGUGAGUGAAGACGGCCUUCGGGUUGUAAAGCUCUGUCAAUCGGGACGAAGAAGAUGACGGUACCGAUGAAGGAAGCUCCGGCUAACUACGUGCCAGCAGCCGCGGUAAUACGUAGGGAGCAAGCGUUGUCCGGAAUUACUGGGUGUAAAGGGAGCGUAGGCGGGAAUGCAAGUUGGAAGUGAAAGGUAUGGGCUCAACCCAUGAACUGCUUUCAAAACUGUAUUUCUUGAGUGAAGUAGAGGCAGGCGGAAUUCCUAGUGUAGCGGUGAAAUGCGUAGAUAUUAGGAGGAACACCAGUGGCGAAGGCGGCCUGCUGGGCUUUAACUGACGCUGAGGCUCGAAAGCGUGGGGAGCAAACAGGAUUAGAUACCCGCGUAUC
rnacentral:rRNA from 1 species